GAGUUUGAUUCUGGCUCAGAACGAACGCUGGCGGCGCGUCUUAAGCAUGCAAGUCGAACGGCAAGAAAGGGGCUUGCUCCUUUCCUAGAGUGGCGGACUGGUGAGGAACACGUGGGUAGUCUACCCUUAAGAUGGGGAUAGCUGUUAGAAAUAGCAGGUAAUACCGAAUAAACUCAAUACUUCACAAGAGGUUUUGAGAAAAGGAAGCUACGGCUUCGCUUGAGGGUGAGCUUGCGUCCCAUUAGCUAGUUGGUGAGGUAAAGGCCCACCAAGGCGACGAUGGGUAUCCGGCCUGAGAGGGUGAACGGACACAUUGGGACUGAGAUACGGCCCAAACUCCUACGGGAGGCAGCAGCUAAGAAUAUUCCGCAAUGGACGGAAGUCUGAUCGGAGCGACGCCGCGUGGAUGAAGAAGGCUGAAAAGUUGUAAAAUCCUUUUGUUGAUGAAGAAUAAGGGUGAGAGGGAAUGCUUA
rnacentral:rRNA from 1 species